rnacentral:rRNA from 1 species
GAAUUCGCCCUUAGAGUUUGAUCCUGGCUCAGGACGAACGCUGGCGGCGCGCCUAACACAUGCAAGUCGAACGGAGUCAAGAGGAGCUUGCUUUUCUUGACUUAGUGGCGAACGGGUGAGUAACGCGUGAGUAACCUGCCCUGGAGUGGGGGACAACAGUUGGAAACGACUGCUAAUACCGCAUAAGCCCACGGAUCCGCAUGGAUCUGCGGGAAAAGGAUUUAUUCGCUUCAGGAUGGACUCGCGUCCAAUUAGCUAGUUGGUGAGGUAACGGCCCACCAAGGCGACGAUUGGUAGCCGGACUGAGAGGUUGAACGGCCACAUUGGGACUGAGACACGGCCCAGACUCCUACGGGAGGCAGCAGUGGGGGAUAUUGCACAAUGGGGGAAACCCUGAUGCAGCGACGCCGCGUGGAGGAAGAAGGUUUUCGGAUUGUAAACUCCUGUCGUUAGGGACGAUAAUGACGGUACCUAACAAGAAAGCACCGGCUAACUACGUGCCAGCAGCCGCGGUAAAACGUAGGGUGCAAGCGUUGUCCGGAAUUACUGGGUGUAAAGGGAGCGCAGGCGGACCGGCAAGUUGGAAGUGAAAACUAUGGGCUCAACCCAUAAAUUGCUUUCAAAACUGCUGGCCUUGAGUAGUGCAGAGGUAGGUGGAAUUCCCGGUGUAGCGGUGGAAUGCGUAGAUAUCGGGAGGAACACCAGUGGCGAAGGCGACCUACUGGGCACCAACUGACGCUGAGGCUCGAAAGCAUGGGUAGCAAACAGGAUUAGAUACCCUGGUAGUCCAUGCCGUAAACGGUGAUUACUAGGUGUUGGAGGAUUGACCCCUUCAGUGCCGCAGUUAACACAAUAAGUAAUCCACCUGGGGAGUACGACCGCAAGGUUGAAACUCAAAGGAAUUGACGGGGGCCCGCACAAGCAGUGGAGUAUGUGGUUUAAUUCGAAGCAACGCGAAGAACCUUACCAGGUCUUGACAUCCGAUGCAUAGUGCAGAGAUGCAUGAAGUCCUUCGGGACAUCGAGACAGGUGGUGCAUGGUUGUCGUCAGCUCGUGUCGUGAGAUGUUGGGUUAAGUCCCGCAACGAGCGCAACCCCUAUCCUCAGUAGCCAGCAUUUAAGGUGGGCACUCUGGGGAGACUGCCAGGGAUAACCUGGAGGAAGGCGGGGAUGACGUCAAAUCAUCAUGCCCCUUAUGAUUUGGGCUACACACGUGCUACAAUGGCGUAAACAAAGGGAAGCGAGAUCGUGAGAUGGAACAAAUCCCAAAAAUAACGUCCCAGUUCGGACUGUAGUCUGCAACCCGACUACACGAAGCUGGAAUCGCUAGUAAUCGCGAAUCAGAAUGUCGCGGUGAAUACGUUCCCGGGUCUUGCACUCACCGCCCGUCA